AUCGCUGACGAGUGAUACCGUAGAAGUUUAAGUGGUUUCAUAACUACGGAUA
rnacentral:ncRNA from 2 species